rnacentral:lncRNA from 1 species
AGGAAGAUGAGGAAGUGACUGGUUGUUCCAUGGAGAUCGAUGAGAAUCUGAUCAGUCCGACGUCGUUUGAUGAGUUAUUAACGUGUGACUUCACUCCUACCUAUACAACUGGCUUCGUGGAUGCUUUUGAUGACCACUCAUUAGUCGAGCCGUACGAUCUAUACCAAUCUGAUUUCUAUCAUGAGACUAGUGAUGAUCAACUUGACCUGUUCCUCCUCUGAAAUUCACUCUCUUGGACACGUUUUUUCUUGAUGUAUUUCUUUUUUUUUGUUCUGUAUCCGUUAGUUCAGUGUGACGGAAGAGAGUUUCUGAAAAAGGCAAGUAUUCAUCAGUACUCUGAGUGACAUGUAUGGUCAAUGUUUCUGAGUUUUUUAAAGUCGAUUACCUCUCUCUCUUAGGCAUGCUUAUCGUGAGCCCUACAUCUACAUGCACAUUUGGAGUUUCAUGCAUGACAUUCCAAUGAAAACUAGCCCAUCGAAUUCUAUAUUGUUAUAGGAGAAAUUCUUGGGUUCUAGAUUCACCAACCAAUAGUGUUUGAGUAAUUGAUAUUUGAUAUCUUUUAAAAAAGUAAACAAAAUUGAAUUUCCAAAUAAGACUAUAUUUUUAAAAUAAAACAAUAAAAAUACAUAAAAAUAGUUAAAAAAAAAAAUAAAUAUUGUUAAACCGUUAGCAAAAUAUUAAAUCUUAUACCCUAAAUCCUAAACUCCAAACCCUAAAUUAUAAACUUUAAAUCUUGGAUAAACCGUAAACCAUUGGAAAAUCUUAAACCCUAAAUCAUACAUUAAAAACUAAAUCUUAAUAACACUAAACCCUAAACCCUAAUCACUAAACCCUAAACCCUUGGAUAAACCCUGAACCCUUGGAUAAAUCAUAAACUCUAAAUCAAAAAUAUUUAAAAUUAAAUCCUAGAGUUUAUGAUUUAUCCAAGGGUUCAGGGUUUAUCCAAGGGUUUAGGGUUUAGUGAUUAGGGUUUAGGGUUUAGUGUUAUUAAGAUUUAGUUUUUAAUGUAUGAUUUAGGGUUUAAGAUUUUCCAACGGUUUAGAGUUUAUCCAAGAUUUAAGGUUUAACGUUUAGGGUUUAGGGUUUAGUAUUUAGGGUAUAUGGUUUAGUAUUUUGCUAAAGAUUUAACAAUAUUAAUUUAUUUAUUUUUUGUAACUAUUUUUAUGUAUUUUAUUAUUUUAUUUUAAAAAUAUAAUCUAAUUUGAAUAUUUAAUUUUAUUUCUUUUUUAAAAAAAUAUCAAAUAUCUAACACUAUUGGUUGGUGAAUCUAGAGGUUCACCCGAGGGCUGAACCAAGAAUUUCUCUUGUUAUAGGUUUGCUAGUCAUAAAGGUGUGUAGUUGAAACUUUUAUAUCGACGCAAUAAGGAUUCCAACAACAUAUUAAAAAUUAGUAUUAAUAAUUAUAUAGCGUGAUUUUUGAACUAAUUUUAUAACCGAACAAUAAACUAAAGUCAUAUGGGUGCGGUUCAACCCUAGUUCAUAUAAUACACAACUACCCAUAUAUGGUAAAUGUCAAUUUUAUAAAACCAGAAUAGUUUUUUUUGUGCAAAAAAAAAAACCAGAAUAGUAAGAGCAUGAUUAUAUAUAUAAAUAGAUUUAUGUAAUUUAGUUAAAGUUAAAAGUUAAAUCCAAAAAGUUAAUGUAAACCACUAACAAAUCAACAUGUGUCAAGGGGUAUCUAACUUUUUUUUGUUUACGUUCGCCACCGAAAACUAAGAGCAUAAUUAUUGGGGGUUCUUAGAGUGAAGUUUUUAUUUAAAUAUAAAAAUUUGUCUUUUAACUUUUAUAAUUUUUAUUUAAGAACCACUUUUUAAAUUUUUUAGUUAAAAGUUAAGAAACGGAUUUUUAUAUUCCGCCAAUACUCUCACCCUAACAACCCUAGUAACGAUGCUCCCAUACAUUCUAACAUUUUUGGACACCAUAUUUUUUAACACUUUUCAUAUUUUUAAUAUGCAGAACCUUGUCCAAAUAACCCCGAUGGGGUUGUCCUAACCAACUGAUUUUUUUUUGGAUCAUGGGUUAAUAUGAGUUGAUCAAGUUUCACUUGAUUCAAUGAGUUUAAUUAUAAAAUGAAAAUUAGAAGUAAAUAUACAUGUUUUGUUGUUUGUCUUCUACAAGUUUUAUAGGAACUUAGUUGAUUAUAGUUAUUAAAGUUUCCAAUAGAAAUAGUUUUAAAAUAAAAGUUAAAUACACCAAAUGGAGAAUAAAUAUAAAAUCAAUGAGUUAACAUUAUAGAUUUAUUUUUCACUGAAAAAAUAUAAGAUGAUAUGAUCAUUUGUAAAAUAAAAUAAAAAUUAUAAAAUGACAUUCUUUGCAAAAGUAUGACUCAAACCACUUGCUUAAUCAAGUUGUCUCUUCGUAAACUAAAAUACUUAGCGAAUGUAAAACUUUCUAUUCAUAAUAAUUACAGAUGCUCAAAAGCUUAGAACAAUAAUUUCUUCUGAUUUUUACCCAAAAAAAUAAAUUCUUCUGAUCAAAAUCAACUAUUAUGUUUCCAGGUUAUUACAUUUCCGCUCUCUCUCUCUCUUAUCCACACGGACAUAAUACAAAUUGAGGCGCUACAGUGUCAAAUUAGUGUUUACUGUUUAGAGCUAAGUGAAUCGUUCACACCAAACUAUAUGUUUUAAAGAGAAUAAACUACACAUGGCACACAGCUUUUUGAGUGAGUACACUAAAUUACACCGGGUGUAAGCUGUAGUAUCAUCCGAAGCAAUAUUUAUAUUAGAAUGUAUAGUGAGUCAAAUCAUCAAAGAUGCAAGCUGCUAAAUAGUUGGAGGAGGACAAGUAACAAAAAAACAGUUUUGCUCAAAAUAAGUAAUCAUAUAAUUUACGACUAUGUUUCUGAAGUUCUGAUAAAAAGAAAAAUAUAUUUCUCUGAAAUUCUUUUAAACAAGGAUUUUUUAUAAUUUCUGUGGAAUCCUUUGUCAUAUACAACUGUAGACUGAAAAAAAGAAAUUUACAAAGUUAGACUAUUUAAAAUUGAAAAAGAUAGAAAGAGAGAGUAAAAUGAAGAGAAGAAAGCAGUUUUUCAUGAAGAAACGUAAGAAGGAUGGUCCAAUACUCAAAACCUUACACUUGUAUUAUUGCAGGGUUCUAAGACGGAGUUGUUAGCGUAAUAUAAAAACUGUUUCUUAACUUUAACUAAGAAAAACUAAGAACCGUCUCUUAAAACUUUUAUUUAAGAACCGGUUUUUAGUUUUUCUUAGUUAAAAGUUAAGAGACGAGUUCUUAUACUACGAUAAGAACUUCACCAUAACUUUUAGUUAAAAGUUAACAGACCAUGAUUAGCUUCGGUUAAGAGACGGUUUUUAACUUUUCUUAAAUUUUAACUAAGAAAAACUAAGAACCGUCUCUUAAAUAAGAGAUAUAAGAGUCGUAUCUUAGCCGAAAAUUAUUUUAAAAAAAAUGUCAAAUCAUGAGUUAAGAACUCCGGCUAAGAGACCGGGGUUAAUCAUGCCUUUAGAACUAAGAGUUAAGAACUCCGGCUAAGAACCCAUAUUUAAGAACCGGUUUUUAGCUUUUUUAGUUAAAAGCUAAGAUACGAGUUCUUAUAUUCUGCUAAGAAUCCACUCUAAUAAUCCCCCAUUAAACAUGCUCUUUGAUGUCUGAUAAUAUAUGGUCUUUUGUUUUUUUCUCUAAUUUUAAUUAUACAAAAAAAAAAUAUAAAUAUUAAAUUGAUUAGGUACUUUGUGGAGAUACCACAAUACAUAACUCUUAUUGGAAAUGCUCUUGAAACUCAUCAUUUGGGUGUGAUGUGAAUGCGCUAUAUGUAUGAUUUAACCUCUUGGAAGAAUCAUGUUUACAUAUACCGAAUAAUUGUUCUUAUAAGAACAUAUUAACGAAAAACGAAGAGGAUAUAACAGCAUCUUUUUUUUUUUGAGCACAGGAUAUAUCAGCAUCAAGAUAUACAUUUAAGAGGAAUCCAACGGCUGAAAAUAAAUUAAAAAGACCAAAAGCUAAAAAAAGAAGGAAAUGACUCGAUAUAUAUACAUAGACAUCUCUAUCCUCACUCUGGAAAAAACCAUUCUGCUUAUAUAUUAGAGAGACUUACAUAGAGAGACACAUUAUGUCUUAUGUUUACGCUUGGAGACACAUUGUCUAGUUGACACACUUUAUGUGUACAGUUGUUUUAUUUUGGACAGAAAUGACCUUUCCUUUGAAUAAGCUGAAGAAUAUUAUUUUUAAAGAGGCAUCCGAAAGCUAACUAGAUUUAUGUUUGGUUGCAGUUAAAAUUAAAGGUUUAAACGGUUUGAAGACGUAAAAAUCAACGUACAAUUCAACAACAAUUGAGUUAGUUAGUUAUUUUAUUUAUAUUAUUAUUAUUUUUCAUUCCAUUUUAUGUUUAUUUGUUCUUUUUCCAAAGUUUAAGACAUAUAAAGCAAAAAUAAUUAAUACUAUAAAUUAUAAUUUCUUUUUCUCUACAUUUUAACAUCCAUUUUCAUAUAUAUUUUUUAUAGAUUUUAAUAAUUAUAUAAAAAUACGUGGACACGAGAAAUGUGGACAGACAAUUGUGGACAUAGAAAAAAAAAUACAUGGACACGAUAAGUGUGGACAGAAAAUUGUGGACAUAGAAGAAAAAUACGUUAACAAUGAUUAUUUUUCACUCCAUUUUAUGUUUUUUUGUUUUUUUCUCCAAAGUUUAAGACAUAUAAAGCAAAAAUAAUUACUACUAUAAAUUGUAAUUUCUUUUUCUCUACAUUUUAACAUCUAUUUUCAUAUAUAUAUUUUUUAUAUAUUUUAACAAUUAUAUAAAAAUACGUGGACACGAGAAAUGUGGACAGACAAUUGUGGACAUAGAAAAAAAACAUGGAUACGAUAAGUGUGGACAGAAAAUUGUGGACAUAGAAGAAAAAUAAGUUAACAGUUAUUAUUUUUCAUUCCAUUUUAUGUUUAUUUGUUUUUUUCAAAGUCUAAGACAUAUAAAGCAAAAAUAAUUACUACUAUAAAUUGUAAUUUCUUUUUCUCUACAUUUUACCAUCUAUUUUCAUAUAUAUUUUUUAUAUAUUUUAAUGUGGACAGAAAAUUAUGGACAUAGAAAAACAAUACAUGGACAAGAGAAGUGUGGACAUAGAAGAAAAAUAAGUUAAUAGAAAAGAUGUGGACAUAUAGAUGGAUGAAAAAACGUUAAAAAAAACUUUUAUUUUCAUUUUUUAGUUUUUUUCUGUUUGGUUAAAAGAAUUAUUUGGUAACAUAUAUAUUUAGUUUGUAAAUAGUUCAUAUUUGAAAAAUAUUUAUAGAGAGAAGGUAAGCGUGGACGGCUACAUGUGGACAUAUAAACAUGUAGGAGUACAUGCGUAUGAGUGUGGACGGGUAAUCAUGAACGGUUAUUUGUGGACAGAUAUGCAUGAACAUAUGCAUAUGGAUAAAAUAUACAUAUGGAUAGAUAGACGUGCGUGGAUCUGUACAAUGGACAAUUAUUUGGUGGUGAUUUGUGUUUGUGUGACAAAACAUAUAUGCCAAACAAAAUGUCAACCUUAUGAAUAAUGAGAUAUCAAAAGCAUAAACAGUUAGCAAUGAAGCUCUUAUCCUUUUCCUCAGCAAUGUUCCAAACACCAUCUUCAUCUAAUUCAAUUUCAGAGGUAGAUGGCUUUUCAACAGAUAACCAUAAAGGUAGGUCUUGAGACAAAGAAAUAAAAUGUUUUAAAAAAACACAGGAUAAGAGUAUUUCCGAAUGCAAGACGGAAGAGACAUAAACAGAUACCUUUGUGUACUGAUUCUUUACACGGAGUGAACCUGAGAAGAAAACUAAAUCUAUUGUAUAUAUGAUGACUUGCAUAGAAGAGAAAUUGGGACGAGAAUACACACUCAUACUCCAAUUGUUGUUCCAACUGCUUCAAAAAUUAACAAACGAAAAGGGAACAAAUCACCAUCAAUAAGAACAUGAAUAGGAAAAAGUUUGAAACUUUGUCUCAUACCAAUCAUUGCACGAUCUACGGCUAGAGUUGCAGGGUUUGUGUCUUUGCAGAUUUGCAGAGGUUCUAAGAGGAAUUGCAGCGGCUCUAAGAGAAUUAAAAGUGUGUAUGGCGCCAGUGGUUGCUCGUGGUGAAGAACAGAGCCCUCUGUCUGAGCUAAACGAGAUGAUGAUUGGUUCAAGCCUUUUGCUGGAGCUCAACGAGAGAGGGAGAGUGGUUCCGUCGGUGGGGUUUAGGGAUGUAGCUUUCCAUUAACGAUAGAUAUUGUUAUUUAAGCGGAUUAGAGAUUGUGAUUUGUGAGAAUUGGGGAAGUUAGAAUUUUAUCAGUUAAUGAUUUUGUUUUUAAAAAAAAAAAAUCUGCUUAGUUACAACAAGAAGGUAACGAGAGAGAAAAAGCUUUCAAGGGUAUAAUGGACAAACGGUAAGACAAAUGUGUGUUGCAAGUGGGAUGUGUUCUUUAGUGUAAUUAGAAAGUCAAAAUGUGUCCUCCAAUGUAAAUUUCUCUAUAUAUUAAGUGAGAACGUGAAAGAGCCUCACAGAAAAUAAUUGGAAGUCCUCUUAGUAAAACACUAAAACCAUAUCUACAAAAAUAAACAGUUACAGUAACCAAUAAUGCGCUUUGUUCUCGAGCUCAUCAUCAUCUGACUACACGUUGAUUGGUUUAUGGGAAAUGCUCGAAUCUACCAGCGAGAUCUGACUGGUUAAAAUGGGGAGGACGACAUGGUUUGACGAUGACGGGAUAAAGAAAGGGGAGUGGAUGGCGGAGGAAGACCGGAUGCUCGUCGCUUACAUCAAAGAACAUGGUCUUGGAGACUGGCGUACCCUGCCUAAGAGAGCCGGUAAAAAUCUAUACUUACACUCUAUAUUACUAUAUAUAUGCAUUAUGCAUACAUUGUGCACGGUCAACUUGUGUUUGUGUCUCUUUCAAACUUAGGAUCUUUAGAUUCCAGUUUCUGUCGGACCGAAAAUCUUGUUUUGAUUACUAUUAUUUUUAUUUUUUUGGUUUAAAUUUUUCUAAAUCAUGUACAGCUCUAUUAUCUGAAGAGAUUUACUAACAAAAAUUCAUAUAUACAGAUUCUAAAAGUUUUUUCCGGUUUUUGGGAGCAUAUUGUUGGACCAUUGUAAAUAAACAUGUGUGUAAACUGCAAACCAUUAGAGUAUUAUCUUGUUAAUGAGAUUUAUCCGAUUAUUAUACUGUAGUAGAACCUUCGACCAGCACUUCUAUGAUAUGAAGAUAUCUAUAAUAGAAUAUAUGAACACAUGUAUUUUCCUGAUUACUUUUUAAUUACGAUUUCUUAUUUUAUUCAGUUUUCUAAAGUGUUAAACCUAUGGUUACUGCAAAAUAUUUCUUGUUUAACUUUAGACCCAAAAUCAGAAAGUUUAUGUGAUUGUAUUUUCUCCUAUUUUUGUCUGAUGGAAAGGAAAUAGAUUUUGACUGAUCAAAACUUUUUUUUUUAAAUUGUGUGAUGGAGAAAAGGUUCACAUAAGGUCCAAUCCUUUUUUUUUCUUUGUUCAGAUAAGGUCCAAUCAUUUCUGUUUGCCACUAUAUUAAAGUAAUAAUUUCACAUUAUUUUUUAAUGUAAUUUUUUCUUAUAAAUGCACAAAAGGUCUGCAAAGAUGUGGAAAGAGUUGUAGAUUAAGGUGGCUGAAUUAUUUGAGGCCUGGAAUUAAAAGAGGCAAGUUCACUCCUCAGGAGGAAGAAGAUAUCAUCAAAUUUCAUUCUCUUCUUGGAAACAGGUAAUUUAAUGUGUGAUUAAAUCCAAACCAACCAAACUACCUUGUCUUUUAGUUUUUUUUUAAAAAACAAGAAUUGUGUCUAAUUCUAAGUAGUUUUACUUAAAAACACAAAUAUUUAGGAAGCUCUGAUUUAAAAAAAAAAUAUAUCAUUUAAUCAAUUAAUUCAACCAAUUAUAAAAAAUCUAACAUUAUUUCAUUGGUCACACAGUAUCCAAUAAAUAAAAAGAUGCAUUGAAAAAUAUAAAUUACAAACGAACUAUUUUUGGUAGAACUAGUUACAUUUGGAAAAUAUAGAUACAUUAUUAAAGUAAUGAUUAUGCAUAAUUACAACAGGUGGGCCGCAAUAGCAAAGCAAAUGCCAAACCGAACAGACAAUGACAUUAAAAAUCAUUGGAACUCAUGUCUAAAGAAAAGACUCGUUAGAAGCGGGAUCGAUCCCAUGACCCAUAAGCCUACCGUCAACGUUGCAAAAGCCACUUCCUCCUCAACGACGUCGUCUACAGCACCGACCCCUUCUUCGUCCUCUGCUACUUCUUCCUCUUUUUCCUCCACAGGCUCUGCACGUCUACUUAACAAGCUUGCUGCUGGAAUCUCGUCGAGAAAACAUGCACUCGAUAGGAUCAAGAACGUCAUCAUGUCGGAACCAAGACAAGCCGUUGAAGAAGACGAGAUGAUGAUAGGCAGCAAGGAAGAUGAGGAAGUGACUGGUUGUUCCAUAGAGAUCGAUGAGAAUCUGAUCAGUCCGACGUCGUUUGAUGAGUUUUUAACGUGUGACUUCACUCCUACCUAUACAACUGGCUUCGUGGAUGCUUUUGGUGGCUACUCAUUAGUCGAGCCAUACGAUCUAUACCAAUCUGAUUUCUAUCAUGAGACUAGUGAUGAUCAACUUGACCUGUUCCUCCUUUGAAAUUCACUCUCUUGGACACGUUU